CUCUACCUCCCAGGUUCAAGCGAUUCUCCUGCCUGAACUGGUUGUGAUUUUCCUGCUUCUUGGUUUGAUGAAUAAUUUUCAACUCUACCCUGGAUAUUUUGGAUACUAAUUUUGAGACUCUGGAUCCUCUGCAAUCUCCUUGUGUUUACCCAGUAGUCCCUGCUGAGAUGCAGCAUGAAAGCUUAUGAUUGUGAAUUCUGCUUCCCAUGGGUCCUGUCAACACCAUCUCAGCAAACAUGGAACCAGCAGCCAGGUGUGGUGGCAUGAGCCUGUAGUCCCAGCUACU
rnacentral:lncRNA from 1 species